rnacentral:rRNA from 1 species
AACAGAGGCCUCAAGCGUUAGGCGGAAUCACUGGGCUUAAAGCGUGUGUAGGCGGAUCGUUAAGUGUCUUGUGAAAUCCCACGGCUCACCCGUGGAACGGCUGGGCAUACUGGCGAUCUUGGGCCAACUAGGGGCAACUGGAACAAGCGGUGGAGCGGUGAAAUGCGUAGAUAUCGCUUGGAACGCCGAAGGUGAAAACAGGUUGCUGGGGUUGUGCCGACGCUGAGACACGAAAGCCAGGGGAGCAAACGGG